rnacentral:rRNA from 1 species
AGCUACAGGCUUAACACAUGCAAGUCGAGGGGCAUCAGGAAGAAAGCUUGCUUUCUUUGCUGGCGACCGGCGCACGGGUGAGUAACACGUAUCCAACCUGCCCUUUACUCGGGGAUAGCCUUUCGAAAGAAAGAUUAAUACCCGAUAGCAUAAUGAUUCCGCAUGGUUUCAUUAUUAAAGGAUUCCGGUAAAGGAUGGGGAUGCGUUCCAUUAGGUUGUUGGUGAGGUAACGGCCCACCAAGCCUUCGAUGGAUAGGGGUUCUGAGAGGAAGGUCCCCCACAUUGGAACUGAGACACGGUCCAAACUCCUACGGGAGGCAGCAGUGAGGAAUAUUGGUCAAUGGGCGCUAGCCUGAACCAGCCAAGUAGCGUGAAGGAUGAAGGCUCUAUGGGUCGUAAACUUCUUUUAUAUAAGAAUAAAGUGCAGUAUGUAUACUGUUUUGUAUGUAUUAUAUGAAUAAGGAUCGGCUAACUCCGUGCCAGCAGCCGCGGUAAUACGGAGGAUCCGAGCGUUAUCCGGAUUUAUUGGGUUUAAAGGGAGCGUAGGUGGACUGGUAAGUCAGUUGUGAAAGUUUGCGGCUCAACCGUAAAAUUGCAGUUGAUACUGUCAGUCUUGAGUACAGUAGAGGUGGGCGGAAUUCGUGGUGUAGCGGUGAAAUGCUUAGAUAUCACGAAGAACUCCGAUUGCGAAGGCAGCUCACUGGACUGCAACUGACACUGAUGCUCGAAAGUGUGGGUAUCAAACAGGAUUAGAUACCCUGGUAGUCCACACAGUAAACGAUGAAUACUCGCUGUUUGCGAUAUACAGUAAGCGGCCAAGCGAAAGCAUUAAGUAUUCCACCUGGGGAGUACGCCGGCAACGGUGAAACUCAAAGGAAUUGACGGGGGCCCGCACAAGCGGAGGAACAUGUGGUUUAAUUCGAUGAUACGCGAGGAACCUUACCCGGGCUUAAAUUGCAGUGGAAUGAUGUGGAAACAUGUCAGUGAGCAAUCACCGCUGUGAAGGUGCUGCAUGGUUGUCGUCAGCUGGUGCCGUGAGGUGUCGGCUUAAGUGCCAUAACGAGCGCAACCCUUAUCUUUAGUUACUAACAGGUUAUGCUGAGGACUCUAGAGAGACUGCCGUCGUAAGAUGUGAGGAAGGUGGGGAUGACGUCAAAUCAGCACGGCCCUUACGUCCGGGGCUACACACGUGUUACAAUGGGGGGUACAGAAGGCAGCUAGCGGGUGACCGUAUGCUAAUCCCAAAAUCCUCUCUCAGUUCGGAUCGAAGUCUGCAACCCGACUUCGUGAAGCUGGAUUCGCUAGUAAUCGCGCAUCAGCCACGGCGCGGUGAAUACGUUCCCGGGCCUUGUACACACCGCCCGUCAAGCCAUGGGAGCCGGGGGUACCUGAAGUACGUAACCGCAAGGAUCGUCCUAGGGUAAAACUGGUGACUGGGGCUAAGUCGU